GCUACCAUGCAGUCGUACGAGAAAUCCCGAGCUUGCUUGGGAGAGUAAAGUGGCGCACGGGUGAGUAACGCGUGGGUAACCCACCUUCGAAUUUGGGAUAACUCCGCGAAAGCGGUGCUAAUACCGGAUAAGACCACAGCCGUUUCGGCGGCAGAGGUAAAAGCUGACCUCUCCAUGGAAGUUAGCGUUCGAAGACGGGCCCGCGUCCUAUCAGCUUGUUGGUGGGGUAAAGGCCUACCAAGGCAGCGACGGGUAGCUGGUCUGAGAGGAUGAUCAGCCACACUGGAACUGGAACACGGUCCAGACUCCUACGGGAGGCAGCAGUGAGGAAUUUUGCGCAAUGGGGGAAACCCUGACGCAGCAACGCCGCGUGGGUGAAGAAGGCUUUCGGGUCGUAAAGCCCUGUCAGGUGGGAAGAAACUCUUCAGCACUAAUAAUGCUGAAGCCUGACGGUACCACCAGAGGAAGCACCGGCCAACUCCGUGCCAGCAGCCGCGGUAAUACGGAGGGUGCAAGCGUUGUUCGGAAUUAUUGGGCGUAAAGAGCGUGUAGGCGGCUUGGUAAGUCAGAUGUGAAAGCCCUGGGCUCAACCCAGGAAGUGCAUUUGAAACUACCAGACUUGAGUACGGGAGAGGAG
rnacentral:rRNA from 1 species